rnacentral:tRNA from 1 species
GGCCACUUCCGUGGCGCAACGGUAGCGCACCUGACUCCAGAUCAUAAGGUUACGUGUUCAAAUCACGUCGGGGUCA